rnacentral:rRNA from 1 species
AGGGUUCGAUUCUGGCUCAGAACGAACGCUGGCGGCAGGCUUAACACAUGCAAGUCGAACGAGAAACUUACUUCGGUAAGUGGAAAGUGGCAGACGGGUGAGUAACGCGUGGCAACCUACCUUUUUCUACGGAACAACAGUUGGAAACGACUGCUAAUACCGUAUACGCCCUCCGGGGGAAAGAUUUAUCGGUGAAAGAUGGGGCCGCGUUAGAUUAGCUAGUUGGUGAGGUAAUGGCUCACCAAGGCGACGAUCUAUAGCUGGUCUGAGAGGAUGAUCAGCCACACUGGGACUGAGACACGGCCCAGACAACUACGGUUGGCAGCAGUGGGGAAUAUUGGACAAUGGGGGCAACCCUGAUCCAGCCAUGCCGCGUGAAUGAUGAAGGCCUUAGGGUUGUAAAAUUCUUUCGCUAGGGAUGAUAAUGACAGUACCUAGUAAAGAAGCCCCGGCUAACUCCGUGCCAGCCGCCGCGGUAAUACA